UAAGCAAAAGCCAAACUUGGGCGCCUAACUGUUAAUUAGGAAGUUGUAAUACUUUUUUACUUGCUUAG
rnacentral:tRNA from 1 species